UACGUAGGGUGCAAGCGUUAAUCGGAAUUACUGGGCGUAAAGCGUGCGCAGGCGGUUAUGUAAGACAGUUGUGAAAUCCCCCGGGCUCAACCUGGGAAUUGCAUCUGUGACUGCAUAGCUAGAGUACGGUAGAGGGGGAUGGAAUUCCGCGUGUAGCAGUGAAAUGCGUAGAUAUGCGGAGGAACACCGAUGGCGAAGGCAAUCCCCUGGACCUGUACUGACGCUCAUGCACGAAAGCGUGGGGGAGCAAACAGG
rnacentral:rRNA from 1 species